rnacentral:rRNA from 1 species
GAUGAACGCUAGCUACAGGCUUAACACAUGCAAGUCGAACGGUGAAGCAGAGCUUGCUCUGUGGAUCAGUGGCGAACGGGUGAGUAACACGUGAGCAACCUGCCCUGGACUCUGGGAUAAGCGCUGGAAACGGCGUCUAAUACUGGAUACGAGACGUAGCCGCAUGGUCAACGUUUGGAAAGAUUUUUUGGUUCAGGAUGGGCUCGCGGCCUAUCAGCUUGUUGGUGAGGUAAUGGCUCACCAAGGCGUCGACGGGUAGCCGGCCUGAGAGGGUGACCGGCCACGAUGGGACUGAGACACGGCCCAGACUCCUACGGGAGGAAGCAGUGGGGAAUAUUGCACAAGGGGCGAAAGCCUGAUGCAGCAACGCCGCGUGAGGGAUGACGGCCUUCGGGUUGUAAACCUCUUUUAGCAAGGAAGAAGCGAAAGUGACGGUACUUGCAGAAAAAGCGCCGGCUAACUACGUGCCAGCAGCCGCCGUAA